UCUUGAACGCGAGCUGUUUGGAUUUUCCGACGAUUCUGAAUUUUCAUACUCUUUAAGAUCAUCGUUAUCGUCAACUUUGUCGAUCUCUGUAAGCGAUGGAGACACAAAUAUGUUUCUAUGUGAGUCCAAAUCAAUUUUUUCGGCUGGAAUCCAAAAGCUCCAUGAUUUGAAGUAUAUCUUGUGACCAAAAUAGGCAAACAAAACGAUGGGCAUUGCCAAAUAAUUUUGGAAAAACACUUUGACGUUAAGUUUUCCAUGUUCAUUAACAGGUGCGAUGGCUACCCAGAACUGGCACACAAGGAAGAAGAUUGCAAUUAAAACUGCAAGCCAUGAACCCCAAUAGCCAGUUUGUGCUUUGUAUCCAACUUCGUUCAUCGAACGACCUUGCUUUGCCAUGGCAUCUCUAAAUCUUAUAUGUGACAAGGACAUUGACAUCCAGAUAAAUAAUUGCGAAAGACUAGAAAUUGCCAAUAACCAGGUGAAAACCUGUUCUUCAGCGUCACUAGUGGCUACAAACCCAAUGCAUCCAAAGACAAGGGAAACAAAAAAACAAAGUAAAGGCCUGCCGUUUCUAUCAACAUAUGCUAAGCAUUUAGGUAAGACGCCUUGUUCUGCCAAUGAUAAUAACAAUCUUGGCCCAGAAUAUAACGAAGAGUUUGCAACAGAAAUGACAGAAAUCAAAAUAACAGCAUUUAUAAAGUGAGGCACAACUUUGACACCAUGUGAUGCAACAGCAAUGACAAAUGGGGAGGCAUGGGAUCCAGAGGAGUCACUAGACCCUAAUAAUUCGUCACUGUUGUAUGGAACAAGAAAGCAAACCAAAAUGGUGGUGAGCAUGUAAAUCAGCAGAAUACGGUAUACCACUUUUUUGCAGGCAUUGGGAAUAGAUUUUGUUGGGUUUUCCUGCUCAGCGGCAGAUAGAAGUAGAACUUCAAUUCCACCGUAGCUGAAUGCAGCAUAACAGAAAACCGUACAUACACCUUUGAAACCGUGGGCAAAUGGACCAGGAUUGUGCCAGUACUCAGCACCGAUGUAUCUUCUGUCACCUGCACCACCACAAUUGAUGAUAAUCGCCAGAAUGACGAAUCCGAUUACCAUCAAUAUCUUACAGGAAUUGAAAAUGAACUCGGCUUCAGCAUAGCCUCUGGACCCAAAUAGAUUAAUGAUAAUUACAAAAACGAAAACCACGGCAACAAAGAUGUCUGCAUUUACACUCGUCCAGUACUUAACUGUCAUUGCCGCAGUGACCAAUUGUAAGGGCAGAACAGUUAGCCAUUGAAUGGUGUAAACCACAGAAACUGCAAAACCCAACGAAGGGUCGACUAAAAUAGAAGGAUAUCUGGUGUAAUUGCCGGUUAGUCCUGCAUAACAGAGACCUAACUCGCCUGCCGCUUGGAUGAUACAGUAAAGCAUGAUCGAUGCUAUUCCGUAACCAAGGACUAACCCGGCAGGACCAGCUGUUCCCAGCACCUGACCAUUACCGACCAGUAAACCAGUACCUAUACCGGUACCGAGACUGAUCAUGACUAAGUGACGAGAUUUGAUCGACUUUGUCAGGUUGUUUUUUUCUUGGGACUCUAGUUCGGAAUUACGGUCUGGUGGCAGCUGCCUUUUAAAAGAGUCGAAGAAUUCUUUGCAUUUCCUCUGUAAUAUGGAUUUGCUGUCCGUCCUUCGAGGCUCCGCUGUUUGUCCAGAUACCUCAUCUUGUUUUUCUGUUAUUGUAAAGUCUCUCUUUUGUUUUUCACUGUGUGUUCUUUCAUGCAAACUGUGCGAAUAUUGUGCUGGACUGGCCUCUUUGGCAAUGAAACUGACACUAUCGUCCAUUUUUACGCCUUUUUAUCGAGAAACUAUAUUAGGUAGCUACGGUGGUAAAGGCACCUUAUAAUACAGCUUGGUUCUAUGUAUUAAUUUCAGACUAUUUUAUGGUCUGCUUUUUUUUACGGUCAGAGAAAAGAUGAAAUAGAUGCCACAAAACAGGGAUAUAUACGAAAACAGCAUCUUAUAUACUUUUUUACUCCAACAUU